CAGCCGCCGCGGUAAUACGUAGGGUGCAAGCGUUAAUCGGAAUUACUGGGCGUAAAGCGUGCGCAGGCGGUUAUAUAAGACAGAUGUGAAAUCCCCGGGCUCAACCUGGGAACUGCAUUUGUGACUGUAUAGCUAGAGUACGGCAGAGGGGGAUGGAAUUCCGCGUGUAGCAGUGAAAUGCGUAGAUAUGCGGAGGAACACCGAUGGCGAAGGCAAUCCCCUGGGCCUGUACUGACGCUCAUGCACGAAAGCGUGGGGAGCAAACAGGAUUAAAUACCCCGGUAGUCCCUGUCUCUUAUAC
rnacentral:rRNA from 1 species